rnacentral:rRNA from 2 species
GGUUAAGCGACUAAGCGUACACGGUGGAUGCCCUGGCAGUCAGAGGCGAUGAAGGACGUGCUAAUCUGCGAAAAGCGUCGGUAAGGUGAUAUGAACCGUUAUAACCGGCGAUGUCCGAAUGGGGAAACCCAGUGCAAUUCGUUGCACUAUCGUUAACUGAAUACAUAGGUUAACGAGGCGAACCGGGGGAACUGAAACAUCUAAGUACCCCGAGGAAAAGAAAUCAACCGAGAUUCCCCCAGUAGCGGCGAGCGAACGGGGAGCAGCCCAGAGUCUGAAUCAGCUUGUGUGUUAGUGGAACGGUCUGGAAAGUCCGACGGUACAGGGUGAUAGUCCCGUACACCAAAAUGCACAGGCUGUGAACUCGAAGAGUAGGGCGGGACACGUGGUAUCCUGUCUGAAUAUGGGGGGACCAUCCUCCAAGGCUAAAUACUCCUGACUGACCGAUAGUGAACCAGUACCGUGAGGGAAAGGCGAAAAGAACCCCGGCGAGGGGAGUGAAAAAGAACCUGAAACCGUGUACGUACAAGCAGUGGGAGCACCUUCGGGUGUGACUGCGUACCUUUUGUAUAAUGGGUCAGCGACUUAUAUUCUGUAGCAAGGUUAACCGUAUAGGGGAGCCGCAGGGAAACCGAGUCUUAACUGGGCGUUAAGUUGCAGGGUAUAGACCCGAAACCCGGUGAUCUAGCCAUGGGCAGGUUGAAGGUUGGGUAACACUAACUGGAGGACCGAACCGACUAAUGUUGAAAAAUUAGCGGAUGACUUGUGGCUGGGGGUGAAAGGCCAAUCAAACCGGGAGAUAGCUGGUUCUCCCCGAAAGCUAUUUAGGUAGCGCCUCGUGAAUUCAUCUUCGGGGGUAGAGCACUGUUUCGGCUAGGGGGUCAUCCCGACUUACCAACCCGAUGCAAACUACGAAUACCGAAGAAUGUUAUCACGGGAGACACACGGCGGGUGCUAACGUCCGUCGUGAAGAGGGAAACAACCCAGACCGCCAGCUAAGGUCCCAAAGUCAUGGUUAAGUGGGAAACGAUGUGGGAAGGCACAGACAGCCAGGAUGUUGGCUUAGAAGCAGCCAUCAUUUAAAGAAAGCGUAAUAGCUCACUGGUCGAGUCGGCCUGCGCGGAAGAUGUAACGGGGCUAAACCAUGCACCGAAGCUGCGGCAGCGACACUAUGUGUUGUUGGGUAGGGGAGCGUUCUGUAAGCCUGCGAAGGUGACCUGUGAGGGUUGCUGGAGGUAUCAGAAGUGCGAAUGCUGACAUAAGUAACGAUAAAGCGGGUGAAAAGCCCGCUCGCCGGAAGACCAAGGGUUCCUGUCCAACGUUAAUCGGGGCAGGGUGAGUCGACCCCUAAGGCGAGGCCGAAAGGCGUAGUCGAUGGGAAACAGGUUAAUAUUCCUGUACUUGGUGUUACUGCGAAGGGGGGACGGAGAAGGCUAUGUUAGCCGGGCGACGGUUGUCCCGGUUUAAGCAUGUAGGCUGGUU